UAAAUAAAUGAGAUAGCUUAAGAGAGCAGCCAGGGGUGUUGGGCAUCUAAGUCGUUAGCUCUGGUGCUCGGGACAACCCCACAGGAGGCGGGGUGGGGGGGUGCGGGUUGUGCUCAUUAUCUGUCAAGGAGACCGUGGCUCAGGGAGAGGAAGAAUCCUAUGCAGUGCUACACGGAUACUAAUGCGUAGGGCUGGCAUUCAAACUGCAUGCAUCAUUAUCUAUUGCUGUGUAACUUAUUACCCUAUAAAGGCUUAAAACAACAAUAAUCAUUUGUUAUCUCUCAUGGUCUCCGUAGAUCAGGAAUUCAGACAGGGUACAGUGGGGCGAGUUUAUCCCUGCACCACAACAGCUGGAAGAUUUGAAGGCUGGUAGCUGGAGUCAUCCAAAGGCCCUUUUCUCAUUUGUGUAAAGAGUAUUCAAUAGAUAACUGUCCACAUGGAGAUAGAAUGAAUUCAGGACAGAAGAUGUUAGUCCUAAGGUCCAUGUUAAACCAUUUAUUCAACAAAGCAGAUUUCAUUAAAACAGAUUCUUCUAGAUUGUUUCAUUUAA